UAUCUAUAUUAUGUAAACCGAAUAUGUCUUCGUCGUCAAUCUCGUAGUAUUACCACAGAAUAGAUGGAAACUAUUUCAUCUAUUCUGUGGUAUUACACUAUUACGAAUAAUAUUGUACGAUAAUAUCAAAGUAUUUUACCGAACGAUCGAAGUAUCGAAUUGUUAUCAAUUACUAGGAACAUUUACGACUAACGACUAACCAUAAGUUAACAACAUUGUUGUCAUGCAAGUACCAAAAUAAAUAUGAAGUUAGAAUUAUAAACGGUUGAAUUGUUUUUCAUUCUGUCAACCAGUUCACUCGGUUUGAUUCGUCUUACUUCACAAACAAAGUUUUGAUCUCAGUGCAACUGGUGUAACUACAGAAUUACCAAGUCUAACUGCAUCUGCCACAACUACAACGCAAAUACCGUAACCAUAAUUAAAAGGUAUUAAACAAAAAUUAUUCGAUAGUGUAGAUUGUGGUAAUCAGUCUGUGAACAUGCUACCUGAGGUGCUACCUAUGUUUGAAAGUAAAUUGAUUUUUAAUUUGAAAAUUGUGUUUAUAAUUCAAUACAAAUAUUUUUACUAUUUUAGUUGUACUAAUUAUUAAUUAUAUAAGGACUGUAAGUUACACCUGUCAUCCCAUGAUUUCACCACACUUAGAAAUGUCAAAAUUAAAAAUAAAUUUGAAAAGAAAAAAACUCUUAGACAACUGUAAGAAGGUUAAGGAACAGACUAUCAUUGAUGGAAGCUCUCUUUAAACACGAUGAUAAUAUUUUAGAGCUUAAUACUUAUUGAUGUUGAUGUCUUAAAGUUGUUGGAAGAAAAAUAUAAAAUUGAUUUAUAAUUGAA